GGGUCAGUAGGUUGGUCGUGCCACCGGUACGUACUGGUCUCACUGAUUCCUCCUUCCUGAAGAACCGUAAUGCCAUUAAUUUGGUGUUGCGGGGAAACAGGACUGUUACUUUGAAAAAAUUAGAGUGUAUAAAGCAAGCUAACGCUUGAAUACAUUAGCAUGGAAUAAUGAAAUAGGACGAUCGAUGCUAUUUUGUUGGUUUCUAGGAUUGACGUA
rnacentral:rRNA from 1 species